AAUGGGCGCAAGCCUGAUCUAGCCAUGCCGCGUGAGUGAUGAGGGCCUUAGGGUCGUAAAGCUCUUUCGCCUGUGAAGAUAAUGACUGUAGCAGGUAAAGAAACCCCGGCUAACUCCGUGCCAGCAGCCGCGGUAAUACGGAGGGGGUUAGCGUUGUUCGGAAUUACUGGGCGUAAAGCGCGCGUAGGCGGACAUUUAAGUCAGAGGUGAAAUCCCAGGGCUCAACCCUGGAACUGCCUUUGAUACUGGGUGUCUUGAGUUCGAGAGAGGUGAGUGGAAUUCCGAGUGUAGAGGUGAAAUUCGUAGAUAUUCGGAGGAACACCAGUGGCGAAGGCGGCUCACUGGCUCGAUACUGACGCUGAGGUGCGAAAGUGUGGGGAGCAAACAGGAUU
rnacentral:rRNA from 1 species